CAGUCGCCGCGGUAAUACCGAGGGUGCAAGCGUUAAUCGGAAUUACUGGGCGUAAAGCGCGCGUAGGUGGUUUGUUAAGUUGGAUGUGAAAGCCCCGGGCUCAACCUGGGAACUGCAUCCAAAACUGGCAAGCUAGAGUACGGUAGAGGGUGGUGGAAUUUCCUGUGUAGCGGUGAAAUGCGUAGAUAUAGGAAGGAACACCAGUGGCGAAGGCGACCACCUGGACUGAUACUGACACUGAGGUGCGAAAGCGUGGGGAGCAAACAGGAUUAGAUACCCGUGUAGUCCCUGUCUCUUAUAA
rnacentral:rRNA from 1 species